rnacentral:rRNA from 1 species
CGUAGGGUGCGAGCGUUAAUCGGAAUUACUGGGCGUAAAGCGUGCGCAGGCGGUUUUGUAAGACAGAUGUGAAAUCCCCGGGCUCAACCUGGGACCUGCAUUUGUGACUGCAAGGCUAGAGUACGGUAGAGGGGGAUGGAAUUCCGCGUGUAGCAGUGAAAUGCGUAGAUAUGCGGAGGAACACCGAUGGCGAAGGCAAUCCCCUGGACCUGUACUGACGCUCAUGCACGAAAGCGUGGGGAGCAAACAGGAUUAGAUACCCUGGUAGUCCACGCCCUAAACGAUGUCAACUGGUUGUUGGGUCCUUUACUGACUCAGUAACGAAGCUAACGCGUGAAGUUGACCGCCUGGGGAGUACGGCCGCAAGGUUA